UCUAAGUCACUGUCUCCCAAGGAGACCAUACAGUAUAUAUGAUUUUUAUUGGAGUUCUGAGCUUUGAAACAACUGAUAAGAGUCUCUGGAGCCAUUCUGAGUGACUGUUCACACUCAGUGAUUGUGUGAUGGAAUACUGAAGCCCUCGAGAGAUUCAAGUGUGUCACUUUUCCUGCUUUGGAGAGGUGGAUCUACUCAUAAUUGGUGGGUUACACCAUGUGGAUGUAAGAGAUGUGGGGCUAAAGGAAACUUCUCAGAGUCCGUGUAUCUACCCCCUUACCUGUCAAAAGCUCUGUGUUGGUUCUCUUAAAAAAGAAACAUCAUCUGUGAGGUUAUUUUGAACAGUGUGAAAUAUUGAAGUGAUUCAAAUCAUGACUUACAAAGGCAAAAGAGAGAAGAGGGGCUCUUGCUCUUUACUUUUGAUGACCAUGACUCCACGGGUAAGAUUCUCUUUAAGAAAUAUCACAGCAUGAAUGGCCACAAAUGUGAAGCAAGAAGAGAUAGCAGUUCAUUCAUCCAGGCAAAGAGGACAAGGGGUUCUGGAAACUUUGGUGGUGGUGGUAGAGGUGGUUUUGGUGCCAAUUGUAAUGUGGGUUGUAGAGAAAAUGCCAGUGGUCAUGGUGGCUUUAGUCAAAGCUGUGUUUUAGGUAUGAUGGCAGUGGGUAUGGCUAUAAAAUAUUUGGUAAACACUAAAGCCAUUUGGACAUUGUGGAAGCUACAAUGAUUUGGGUAAUUAUUACAACCAGUCUCAAAAUUUAGGGCAAAAACUACAGGGACAGAGGCUUUGGCCUCUGUGGUGGUAGAGUACAAAACUUUCCGAAGCUACAAAAGCAAGCUGACUGAUGUGGUGCCAGCAGCAGAAGCAAUAGCUAUGGCAACGGAGGAAGGUUCUGA
rnacentral:lncRNA from 1 species